UGAGAAGGGAGGGCGUAAAACAAAAUGGCGCUUGUCAGAAAGCGGCUUUGACGCUAUGCUGUUCUGCAAAUUUUCUAUUUUCUUCUUGAUUACAAGUGGAAUUUCUGUGAUGUUAAGGUGAAUUCAAGUGGUCAGGAUGAAUUUCGACGAGAUCGUGGUGAAGGAGAGCCCCGGCUUGUGCCGGUGCUGCCUCUCCGAGGGUUGUUACAAAGACCUGAGUACGGAGUAUACAUGGAUGAAUGAGACUGAAGUUUAUGCCGAUAUGUUAUUGGAAUGCUUUGAUAUCAGUAUAUCUCAACACAAUGGUGGACCAAACGGAGGCAACCGCCUCAUCUGUGAGGUCUGCAUCACCAGGCUAAGAGAUGCCUGCAACUUCAAGAAACAAGUGUUGGACUCUGAGAAGAAGUUUGUUGAUUUGUUGGCCCGUGGAGAGUUCCAGCCUAAAGUGAUAAUGUACCAGGCGACGAUGAAAGCUGAAGAGCUACUGGAGGAGAGCAUCGUGGAGGACGCGGAGGUGGAGUACCUCGAUGAAGGCAUGGACUAUGAGGACGAUUUACCACUGAAGCAACCCGAGGCAGUAACCGAAGCAAGCGUCUCUGAUGUUACGGUCGAAUCCCUGAAAGUUAAGGGCAAACGUGGCCGACCUAGGAAGACCACGAGCGUAGUGAAGACUGAUAAACGAAAAGUUCCUAAAAUAGAAGAGAAACCAAGGACGUCAAAGACACUGACUAAAGGUGCAAAAUUGAAUAUGGACGACGACAAAACAAAGAAAAUGGAAUCGAACCGUAAGGUGCUCGUUAAAAGGCGCAAUGUCGAAUACGUCUUGCAAUAUGGGAACGUCACGCCUUUUAUUUGGUACAAAGGUCGGUUCAGAUGCUUCUACUGCACUGAACCCAUGAAAGACCCUGACGUCCUAAGAGAACACACGGCUAAAGUCCACCAAUUCGCCAAUCUGGAGCUCGUAAUUCACGAUAGGACGAAAAACAACAGAAAUAAAGACGCUGCAGUCAAAAUUGACGUCACAGGCAUCUCUUGUAAGCUCUGUCCGCAGCCUGUUUGGAAUCUAGAACAGUUGAUAAAUCACCUAAUCAUAGCUCAUGAUGCCGAGUACGAUAUGAGCGUACCGAACUGUCUAUUACCCUUCAAGUUAGACAAGAACCAGCCCACAUGCCCAACUUGUAACAUGAAAUUCGUCUUUUUCGAGUAUUUACUAAGACAUGCUAACAAGAUGCAUCUUUCUCACGAAUACUUCUGCCAUGUCUGCGGGACCAGCUUCCAAGGCGACAACCAUUUGAGGAUGCACAUAAGAUACUACCACAGAGAAGGGGGUUACAAUUGCGACCAAUGCGGCGUUACUCUGUCUACGUUGUCAAAGAAGAUUCUUCACGAGAAAAACGUUCAUAUGGUCAAUUUGUCUGCUUGUCCGCAUUGCUCGGAGACUUUUAAGAGUCCGUACUUCAAGAAACUCCACAUGGCAAACGUUCAUGGGGUUGAGGAAAUGAAAAUCAAAUGCCCUUACUGCCCGAAAGUGUUCCCACAAGUGAGCAUAAUGUCAAGGCACAUGCGCCGAGUCCAUCUUAAAGAGAAAAACGUCGAAUGCGAGAUUUGUAAGGAGAAAUUCUUUGGACCGUACGAUCUGAAGUUGCACAUGGCGAAGCAUAAUGGGGAAAAGAACUUCGUUUGUUCGGUUUGCGGGAAGAAGUUCUCCAAAAAGAGUAAUUUGAACACCCACGCGGUGGUACAUACGGGCGAGAAGAAAUAUGAAUGCGACAUAUGCCAUAGAGCUUUCGGGCACCAAGCUAAUCUCAAACUGCACAAAUCGAUAAGACAUUACAGAGAAGCUACACCUGAAGAGGUGCCAGACAUCAUAGACGACAUAGAAGUAGUAGUAGAGUCCUUGCAGGAGCCUCUUAACUAACUCCUUAUUUAUCAUAGCAUAACACCACGCCUGUAUCUCUGAAGGGGUAGGCAGAGGAGUAUAGUAUAUAUGGUGUUAGUGACAUCGUAACGAAUACUGAGGGGGAUGAUUCAGACCAUGAUUCUGAGU
rnacentral:misc_RNA from 1 species